rnacentral:rRNA from 1 species
CAGUCGCCGCGGUAAUACAGAGGGUGCGAGCGUUAAUCGGAUUUACUGGGCGUAAAGCGUGCGUAGGCGGCUUCUUAAGUCGGAUGUGAAAUCCCUGAGCUUAACUUAGGAAUUGCAUUCGAUACUGGGAAGCUAGAGUAUGGGAGAGGAUGGUAGAAUUCCAGGUGUAGCGGUGAAAUGCGUAGAGAUCUGGAGGAAUACCGAUGGCGAAGGCAGCCAUCUGGCCUAAUACUGACGCUGAGGUACGAAAGCAUGGGAGCAAACAGGAUUAGAGACCCCAGUAGUCCCUGUCUCUUAUACA